UACCAGCUCUCCGAGUGGUGUGGAUGUUUAUUGGGCCUAAAGCAUCCGUAGCUGGCCAAGUUAGUCCCCUGUUAAACCCAACGAAUUAAUCGUUGGAUUGCGGGGGAUACUGCUCGGCUAGGGGACGAGAGAGGCCGACGGUAUUCUCGGGGUAGGGGUGAAAUCCUAUAAUCCCGGGAAGACCACCAGUGGCGAAGGCUGUCGGCUAGAACGAGCCCGACGGUGAGGGAUGAAAGCUGGGGGAGCGAACCGGAUUAGAUACCCGGGUAGUCCCAGCUGUAAACGAUGCAGGCUAGGUGUUUGGACGGCCACGUGCCGUUCUAGUGCCGCAGGGAAGCUGUUAAGCCUGCCGCCUGGGGAGUACGGUCGCAAGAUUGAAACUUAAAGGAAUUGGCGGGGGAGCACCACAAGGGGUGAAGCUUGCGGUUUAAUUGGAGUCAACGCCGGAAAUCUCACCGGGAGCGACAGCAGUUUGAAGGCCAGAUUAAAGGUCUUGCCAGACGAGCUGAGAGGAGGUGCAUGGCCGUCGCCAGUUCGUGCCGUGAGGUGUCCUGUUAAGUCAGGCAACGAUCGAGACCCGCGUCCUUUGUUGCUACUGGCCUAGAGCUAGGCACACUGAGGAGACCGCCGCCGAUAAAGCGGAGGAAGGAGCGGGCCACGGCAGGUCAGUAUGCCCCGAAUCUCCCGGGCCACACGCGAGCUGCAAUGGCAGGUACAAUGGGUUCCAACCUCGUAAGGGGAAGGCAAUCUCGAAAGCCUGCCGUAGUUGGGAUUGAGGGUUGAAACCCACCCUCAUGAACAUGGAAUCCCUAGUAAUCGCGUGUCACUAGCGCGCGGUGAAUACGUCCCUGCUCCU
rnacentral:rRNA from 1 species